CUACGGGUCGCAGCAGUGGGGAAUUUUGGGCAAUGGGCGAAAGCCUGACCCAGCAACGCCGCGUGGAGGAUGAAGGUUUUCGGAUCGUAAACUCCUGUCCCAUGAGACGAAGCGAGUGACGGUAUCAUGGGAGGAAGCCCCGGCUAACUCCGUGCCAGCAGCCGCGGUAAUACGGGGGGGGCGAGCGUUGUUCGGAAUUACUGGGCGUAAAGGGCGCGUAGGCGGUUUCGGAAGUCAAGGGUGAAAGCCCCGAGCUCAACUCGGGAAUUGCCUUUGAAACCACGGAACUAGAGGGUGGGAGAUGAAAGCGGAAUUUCCAGUGAAGCGGUGAAAUGCGUAGAUAUUGGAAGGAACAUCUGAGGCGAAGGCGGCUUUCUGGACAGACACUGACGCUGAGGCGCGAAAGCCAGGGGAGCGAACGGGAUUAGAUACCCCCGUAGUC
rnacentral:rRNA from 1 species